CUUGUUUUGUUUUCUCAAUUUCCUUGUCAACUGACUCAGGAUUUUAAAAAUGUCAAUUUCAAUCAAUUUCAACUCCGCAGAACAGAAAACUAGAGAAUUUAUAGGCAACUAUUGGAAACAAAGGAACCAUCUGGUUUUUUAAAUAUAAUUCUUCUCCGAAGUUCCCUCCAAGUACUAAGAUCAUUUAUUUUUCCUCGCUGCAUCCCUGUAAAUAUUCCUAUUUUCCCCUAGAGCCUCUGUGCCCAACUCAGGUGGGUUUCUUUGAAAAGCCCACCCUUGCGGGGGGUGGGGUGGUCUUCCCAUCCAGAAGGCCUGUGGGGUAACAGGGACAUCUGUCUCUGAUGUGGGGAGGGCUUUGUUAUGGGAAGCAGCUCCACGACUAGUGGAGGUCAUCCAACCCUGGUUACUCUGGUUCAUUUGUCAUUUUGUAGUGACAGUUUUCACUUUCCUCCAGGAAUCUCCAGGGAGGUUUUACAACAUUGUGACUAAAACUCAGUCAUGUGCUGAUAGCUUCCCCAGACUAAAGAUUUCCGUGCCCCAAAGCCAGAGGUGUCUCCAUCAUUGGGGCAAAGUCUUAUGUAAGCCACGUGACGGCAACCAGUGGUCUCUCAUCUUCCACCGUGGAGGGGCCUCCUUCCCUUUGGUCCAGUGCUUACUGGUUCACGCCCCGUCCCACAUUCGGACACCAUCUGGCCUCCGCAUCCGGGUUUCUGGAGGUUCCUUAGGAAGCCUUGCGUUCUGCUCACCAGGCCGGGCCUCAGAGAAUUCUCGGACGUGGACUUCCCAUGUUUAGCAGCUUGCUUUCCCGGACCCCCUCUUUUCUCAGGCUCUUUCUCUCCCUUCCGCCCCAGUGUCAAAUGCAGCUCCUCGUCCACCAGACACCCUGUCACAAGGCUGCAGGACGUGGCCUGCUUUGCCGCAGGCUCGAGAGUGAUGGGCUGGAGCUACAAGUGAAUGUUACACUGUCCUGAUCUGAGUCUGACCUUCCUCCUCAGGCCCUAGGGUCCUCGCUCUGCCCUUGGGUCCUCUAGUUCUCCACACCCGCUCCUGUCACCACAGCUCCUCUCCCGUGCCCCCACCCCCAGGCCACCCUCGCCCUCCCUGGGCAGCCCCAAAGUCUCCCAUUCUGCCCACUUGAUUUGCUGCAGUGUGUUCUAAGCUCUUUCUUCCUGGGCAAACUAUGCCAAGGUGGCCUGUCCUCCCUCCACCAAAUGGCCCACCAAACCCAUGAGGAAAUGUUCAUCCUUAAGGAUGUAAGAGAGAAGCAACCAUCUACAAGCAGAAAGGAGUGAUGCCGCUCUGUGAUAAGGCCUUGACUAAUAAUUUGGGGAUUGGCCUUAUUUCUCAUUAAACUCAGCUUGCUCUGUUCCAGUCUAAGACCACGCAGGGUCUUUGUUGCCCCAUACUUAGGUUCAAAUACAUAUCACAUGCCUUUAGUGCCAGUCAUUCCAGUGAGCUCUACAGAUUCAAGAGCGAACAAGCCAGGCAUGUCCCCAAACACGUGUUGCUGGUGGAGAAGGGCAGGUGGGGGCCUAUCCAGAACCCCAGAACAUGCUCAGGCCCCUCGCUCCAGCCACAUUCUGUUUUACCUCUGGAAAUUCGGGUUGGACCAACAGGCAAGGCCUGGAGAAGAACUUGUGCCUUACAAGCUUGGAGACCACAGAGCUCAGAAUAUCGUUGGGGAUGCUAGGGUCCCAGAUGCUCAAGUGAAGCCUUGCAGUUACCACCCCACUGGAAAUUGACUCCAGACCUGGCUCUGGG